GUCUGGCUGCCCUGCCUAUAAUUCCUACCUGGCUACUGGUCAUUUUAUUACACAAAUAUGUGACAAAUUUUUACAGCGUAGAAAAGCAUUAUCACACAGCACAAAAUGAAGAACAGAGGAGAACAAAGAUGAAGGAAGCAAGAAGAAGUUGAAGCAGAUGAACUUUGGGCAAGGAGACCAAUUGGGAAGAUGCAGCAAUUUGCCAACUUGUGCUGAGGAGGACUUGAAUUAGGACAAUAGAUUGGCAUGAUCUCUCAAAGGAUCUUGGAGUAAAGACAUUCCUUCUGGGCAGCACUAGUAAGAAGAGAGCUAGAAAAUCCUUCAGAUUGUUCUUCAGAAAAUCGUGACAUGACUUCCCGUUCCCCUUGGGGGUGGCGCAAACUCCUGCCACACCAGGGACAAAGCAACCAUGGACUGGACCUUCUCUGAAUGAUUCAAAGGAUUCCUCUUUUGAAAUCCAAUGGAUUUCUGAGCCCCAAAGCUUUGUUUCUUGGGGGAAGAUGUCAAGUCGUGUGAAACAUCUAUCAAACACUGAUGAGAAGAGGAAACUUGAGAAAUUGUGAGAGGAAGAAACAUAAUAUGCUUGAUUCUCUUUCUUUUGAAGAAUUUCCAAGCUAAUGAACUGGAAAAUUUUUGCUGAUAAUUACACAUGGGUCCUCAUGAAAGAGAAUGAAGCGCUCUGGCACGUUAUCCCCACCCAUAUAAAGAAUUUAAAUUAAUCAACUGUUCUUCUGCGUGGGACUUACCUUGGUGAGGGAAUUUCCCACAGAGCACUGGAUACAGAAGCUGGAAUGUAAGGCUCAAAAAAUAUCUAAGAAGAAACUGAAGCAAGUACAUGUAACUUACUAGAUUAACAUUUGUUGGAGAAACUGAGACUUUAAGGGAGAAACGAGUCCAGAGAAAGUGUGUGUGUGUGUGUGUGUGGCUGUUUGAAAUAUUCAAAGCCUUUUAGAAAAUGACAGUCUUGAGAUUAUUGGUAGUUUAGGAAGAAGCCAGUUUUUCUUGAUAUCUAGAAGCAGCCAUAACAUGUAAAUGGAGGACAAAGGAAGUAAAUUACAGUGAUUUACAGUUCAUAGUGUGAAGGGGGAAAAAAGAAAAUAUAACUUCCCAAACUGGAAGAUGCUUGUAACUCCAGCAUUCAGGAGGCCGAGACAGGAGAGUUCUGACGUUGAGGUCAGCCUGGCCUAUGGUGUGGGGAUCAGAGGAGAUCCUGAGUGCAUGUGUAUUAUUGACAUAGCCACAGUCGCAGAUCUAUGCAAGUGGCAAAGCCUUCUUGGGUCAGGCUCAACAUGGACAUUUCCUUGGUCCAUGUCUCUUUUUGGUCUACAAAUGAUUGAACAGUUUAUGUGAGAACUGCCAAGUGCAGCUUCAUCCUCCUGGAUUGUUUACCGCCCGAGAGUACUCAUCUAGAGAAGCCUCCCACCAAGAUUAGUCAACCGUUCCCCACCAUGCCUGAGGUUCCCCUGUGUAGAGGUAGUUAAUCCCCCAUCAGAGUGCACACAGCGCACCUGAUACCAGCUUUUCUGUGCCUGUGUCUGUUCUUUCUUCAUUCCCGUACUAGCUUAAGGUUCCGAACUUUGCAAGACACCGCACUAGGAAAAGCUCAGCCUAAACUAUAGAGAAAGUUGCUUCAUCAGCAAACAUAAUGUUUCCUGUCAUUUGUGUGUGUAUGUGGCAUUUCUCUAGGUCUUUGAAGAAGAAUGCUUAUGCUCAUACCAAACUGGGAUGACACCCGAAGCAAAAGGAACACAUAACAAACUGACAAGGGUUCACUGCUCCAUUCAUUGAAAGAAAGAAGCUUCUCGGUUUCAGGAGGUCCCAUUUAUUCACUGUUGCUCUUGUUGUCUGUGCUACUGGGGCUAUAGACUGUGCUAGAGAGGAAGUGGACUAAUGAGAACACUCAUCCACUGCUGGUGGGAAUGCAAACUUGUGCAACCACUUUGAAAAUCAGUGUGGCGGU